rnacentral:piRNA from 1 species
UGCUCCUUGGGUAGUUGUGUUAUGUAAUGGU